rnacentral:rRNA from 1 species
UUUUGUGGAGGGUUCGAUUCUGGCUCAGGAUGAACGCUGGCGGCGUGCUUAACACAUGCAAGUCGAACGGGAUCCGAGCAGCUUGCUGCUUGGUGAGAGUGGCGAACGGGU